rnacentral:rRNA from 1 species
GAUGAACGCUGGCGGCGUGCUUAACACAUGCAAGUCGAACGGAAAGGCCCAAGCUUGCUUGGGUACUCGAGUGGCGAACGGGGGAGUAACACGUGGGUGAACUGCCCUGCACUUCGGGAUAAGCCUGGGAAACUGGGGCUAAUACUGGAUAGGACCUAUUCAUGGACGGGGUGGAGGAGAGAAUUUUCGGUGUGGGAUGAGCUCGCGGCCUAUCAGCUUGUUGGUGGGGUAAUGGCCUACCAAGGCGUCGACGGGUAGCCGGCCUGCGAGGGUGUACGGCCACAUUGGGACUGAGCUGCGGCCCACACUCCUACGUGUGGCAGCAGUGGGGAAUAUUGCACAAUGGGCGCCAGCCUGAUGCAGCGACGCCGCGUGGGGGAUGACGGCCUUCGGGUUGUAAACUCCUUUCGCUAGGGACGAAGCGUUUUUGUGACGGUACCUGGAGAAGAAGCACCGGCUAACUACGUG